UUCCCCAAGUCCCAACGGCUCUCUUGUUCUCUUCUCUUCUCCCCACCCCACACAAAACAAAACCCUAACGUUUCGUUUUUCCACAUCCAUUUUCAAUCACUGCCGUUAAUGGAUUAUACUCGAUUCAGUUUCGUAUUUGGGAACCGCCGCCGUCAGUUUCGUUGAUGGAUUCUACUCGAUUCAAUUUCGUUUUUCCACAUCCAUCUUCAAUCACCGCCGUUAAUGGAUUCUACUCGAUUCAGUUUCGUUUUUGGGAACCGCCGCCGUCAGUUUCGUUGAUGGAUUCUACUCGAUUCAAUUUCGUUUUUCCACAUCCAUCUUCAAUCACCGCCGUUAAUGGAUUCUACUCGAUUCAGUUUCGUUUUUGGGAACCGCCGCCGUCAGUUUCGUUGAUGGAUUCUACUCGAUUCAAUUUCGUUUUUCCACAUCCAUCUUCAAUCACCGCCGCUUAUUACAUUUUUGUGUGUGUGUAAUUCAUCAAUUUCGAUUCAGUUUCGUAUUUGGGAACCGAGAAAGCACUUGACGCUAACUUUGAUUUCGUUCGAAAGUAUUCACCUUCUUCUCGGUAAUUUUGAAUUCUCAGGGUUUCGCUUUCACUAAUCCAAUUGACGGAAAUUCCCCCAAAAUGCCACCGAACCGCAUCGCCGUUAUUAUGUGAACCGACUUCAUCAUUCCCUCUCAUAAGGAGUUCAUGGUGAACCCACAAGAUCGAGAUGUGCUCACAUGGCUGGCUAGGUCAAGUGUAAUUCUUCCUCACAAUUCCAUAGUAUUCUAUUUCCGUUAUUCAUUUUCAUUUUAUUUUCUAUAUGCUUAAAAGUUAGGUGUUCAGAUUAGGUAAUUUUAUUAUUAUAAUAACUGAUUUUGGUGAAUUAGGCAAAUUUUAGUCCAUUCAUUUUUUAUGCUUAAUAACGGUGUGUGCAUAUGCUUUUCUUGAAUUAAGAAGAGGUUGACUAUAAGUUAUUUUAUUCUAAUUUCCAAAUUUGGAUUUUGAUUUGUCAAGUGAUAUUGAAAUACCAUGUAUUAUUAUUGAUAUAUAUAUAUGCCAACAUGACUAUACAACAAGGUUUAGAUCAACAAGUGAUUUAUUUUUUAUUUUUAUAUAACAAAGUCAUUAUGUGGGUGGAUUUAUGGCGCAGUUGAAUUUCCUGCAAGUUGUAUGGUUAUCUAAUUUCUAUUUGCAUGGUUGUGUUGUUGUCUCGUUGUCAACCAUUGCUUUGCGAGUUCUCGUAUCCUUUUGUCAUCUGCUUUUUGCCUUCACCUUCCCUUUUGCUCGUAGAAGUGAAAAGAUGCAUAUGUUCUGGUUGGGGACUGUUCAGAUAGGGCUUGAGUAUUUAGGAAUUGAAUAACUGUUGAACUUUGAUUUGGAAUUAGUAGCUAGAACAUAUACUCCUUGGACUCUCUCCUUGGGUAUGUAACCAUGUUAUGCAUACUUUUGUAGAAAUUAUUAAUGAACAUAAGGAGUAAUACCAUGGAAUAUGAUCAAUUGGAAGGGGUUAGAAAUGCUCACUUUUGGGGUUUGUAUACAAAAACAGAAGUUAGCACUAUUUUAAACAUGAGUUAAUAGCUAGGUAAUAAAAAAGGAGAGUUAGGAGCUGAGAUGCAGUAUAAGGUGGAGGGAAGGGGAAGUAUGUAGAAAACUACUUUGAAAAAAUAUGUUACAACUUAGGGGAAAUGAGUUUUGGUUGAAAGAGGCAAUGGCUAGUCCUUUGUUGGUUACAUCUUCUUGUUAGUUGAAUUUUAAAAAAUUGACUGGUCUUUAUGUAGGGAUGUAGCGCUUAAAUCUAUUUGCACGUUAACUCAGCUAAUCUACUUGCACCUUUAUGUAGUUAUGCCAUGAAUUAAACUGCCAAAUCAUACUUACUUACCUUGUCCUAUAAUUUUAUUAAACUUGUUUAAAACUUUUCAGUUCAAACUGAAUAACUUUUCCUGUAUCUGAAUUAUGUUGUUGAGUAAUGUAUACAAGCAUAUUUCAUUUAGUUCAAUUGCUGGACUGAGGGUCUGUUUGGUAAAAAUAAGCUAUAAGCUAGCUGAUAGCUGAUAAGCUAGCUGAUAGCUGAAAAGCUAGCUUAUAGCUGAUAGCUGAAAAGCUAGCUUAUUGAAAUUAAAGUGUUUGGUAAAAUUAGCUUUUAAAGUGGUUAUUAAAUAUAAAAUUACAUAAUUGAUAGUGGGUAGUUUAUUUUUUUAGAGUGGGUAGUUAUUAAAUUAAAGGGUAAAAUUGGAAUAAAGUGUAAAAAGCUAUAAGCUAUAAGCUCAAAUGCUACUUGAAAUAGCAUCUGAAAAAAAGCUAUAAGCUAGUACAAAAAGCUUGUUACCAAACACCUCUAAUUUUUUGAAACAAGCUUAUAAGCUCAUAUAAUAAGCUAUAAGCUAGCUUAUUUGUGUUACCAAACAGAGCCUGAGUCUUCACUUCAUAGUUAACGAUUUUUCUUUUGUCUUUGACGCUGUAACUUUAAUUGCUUGAAUUUCAGGAUCUAUCUAUUUCUUCAUGAUUAGUGUUUUUCUUUGACAAACAUUUCAGAAUUGAUUUCUGUUCUUGAUGUAUAUACAAUGUGUAGUUUGCUCUUUCAUCCCAAAAUAGUGGUAGUUACAGCUCCGUUACCUCCGCUGAUUUCCUCAAUGUGGUUCUCUGGUUUAAUUUUCUGCUACUGAUUUGCAUUUAUCCUGGUUUAUUUCUAAUAGCAUUUUUGUCUAUGAUAUGAUCUGUUCCUACAAGGCAGUAGCAGGAUGCUUCGGUUCUGGUGUUUGAAUUUUGGUACAGUUGUGUUAUGCUCAUCACAAGUCAGCUUGUAUUGAGCUUCUGUUUGACACAGUGGGGAGUCUCUUUGUGCCUACAUUUGUGUUGGUUAUCCCCUAAUCACUGAUGCUCAUAAUGCUCUCCACGAGAAGGAAAUUCCCCCAAAACAGGGGUUUUGACCAUGCUCUCACCGCACCGCAUCGCCGUUAUUAUGUGAACCGACUUCAUGAUUCCCUCUCAUAAAGAGUUCAUGAUGAACCGACAAGAUCGAGAUGUGCUCACAUGGCUGGCUAGGUCAAGUGUAAUUCUUCUCACAAUUCCAUACGUAUUCUAUUUCCGUUAUUCAUUUUCAUUUUAUUUUCUAUAUGCUUAAGAGUUAGAUGUUCAGAUUAGGUAUUUUUAUUAUCAUAAUAAAUGUUUUAGGUGAAUUAGGCAAAUUUCAGAAUUUCAGGAUUUAUCUAUUCUUCAUGAUUAGUGUUUUUCUUUGACAAACAUUUCAGAAUUGCUUUUUGUUCUUGAUGUAUAUGCAAUGUGUAGUUUGCUCUUUCAUCCCAAAAUAGUGGUUCUCAAUGUGGUUCUCUGGUUUAAUUUUCUUCUACUGAUUUGCUUUAUCCUGGUUUAUUUCUAAUUUCUAAUAGCAUUUUUGUCUAUGAUCUGUUCCUACAAGGCAGUAGCAGGGUGCUUCGGUGUGGUGUUUGAAUUUUGGUACAGUUGCUAUGCCCAUUACAAGUCAGCUUGUAUUGAGCUUCUGUUUGAUACAGUGGGGAGUUUGUGCCUACAUUUGUGUUGGUUAUCCCCUGAUCAUUGAUGCUCAUAAUGCUCUCCACAAGAAGGUCUUAGAAAUGGUGGAUCCUAGGCUUUGGAGAUAACUAUUCAAUUGAUUCAGUUUCUAAGGAGGAAUCGAAAAUUGGGUAUGGGUACAUGAUGUGAGAAGUGGAUGAAAAUUUGUUCCAGUGAAUGAUCAUCUUCUGAAUGCUUUAAUCUGGUCAUAUCUUCUACGAAUCUUUACAUUUCAGCUAGUUUACUUAGUAUCUACUUCUGCAGUUCUUUUAAGUUACUUGUGUGGGUUUUACAGGGGAGAGGUUCACCUGCUUUCCUUUCAGCCAAUAAAUGUGCGGAACCGGUGGCAGGCAGAGGUUUACAUACUUUUUCAUACAGCCUUGGGAUAAAACAGGUAAUUUUUGGCUUACAUGUGUAUUUGUUUUGGGAGAGUGUUGUAGUUUUUGUUUAUCUGUAGCACGAACGCAAGUAUGAAGCAUUUAAGAUUCUAGACUACAUCACUUUUCCCUCCCCAAGCUUUAAGUUUUGAUUUCCUAUUCUCUGUUAAAAUCUAUGUUCUUUUUCUAUCUCAAGAAUUUCACACAAUCACAUAUAGGUGUUUUCAAAACACUGUUUUGCAUUUAAUUUUUUUGGCAACAUGCUGUAGUCAUUCCAAUUGAGUAACAUGUAAUUGUGAAUUGAAACGUGUAGCUGUUGAUUACAGUGUAGUGUGUUUAAAAAGAAUAAUAAUGUUUUAUGUAGUAUCUAGCAAUUAAGUUUGUACACUUCAUUAGUUCUCCAUGUUGUUUUAGUGUCAUGUCUUCUCGGUAAGCCUAUUGAUGUGCAGUGAGUGUUGGUGAUUAUAUAACUGAAAAGUUGAGCCUUAAGUUUCUGACCUAUAACCUGACAGUGCAAGAAAUUUGAAAAACUUUGUGGGGCACUCUUUGGGUAACUAUUUUACUCUUCUUUAUUUUUUCUUGUGUUUUUUUAUCAACUAUUUGUUAUAGUGUAUCAUGCUAUGAACAAAUUAACGAGUACACGUACCAUCAUGUUCUGCAUCCAUGUUUGUUGAUUCUUCUCUGUAAGCUUGGGCAAGAAUGAGAUAUAAUUGUUCAGGUUUUACUUAUAUGUAUAUGUAUUUGAGCUGAAUAAUUGUUCUUUGAUAGUGUACAAGCUGAUGUUGAAGUUUUUGGGUGCUGAAGUUUGUAAGAAAUAAAUCAUUUCUCUUCCCAAGAUGUAG